AGAGUGAACGCUGGCGGCAGGCCUAACACAUGCAAGUCGAACGGCAGCACAGAGGAGCUUGCUCCUUGGGUGGCGAGUGGCGGACGGGUGAGGAAUACGUCGGAAUCUGCCUAUUUGUGGGGGAUAACGUAGGGAAACUUACGCUAAUACCGCAUACGACCUACGGGUGAAAGCGGAGGACCUUCGGGCUUCGCGCAGAUAGAUGAGCCGACGUCGGAUUAGCUAGUUGGCGGGUAAAGGCCCACCAAGGCGACGAUCCGUAGCUGGUCUGAGGGGAUGAUCAGCCACACUGGAACUGAGACACGGUCCAGACUCCUACGGGAGGCAGCAGUGGGAAUAUUGGACAAUGGGCGCAAGCCUGAUCCAGCCAUGCCGCGUGUGUGAAGAAGCCUUGGUGUAAGCACGUUUGACGGAAGAAAGUCUUACGGUUAAGUACCCGGUAAGUUCUAGACGUACCGUAAGAAUAAGCACGCUAAC
rnacentral:rRNA from 1 species